UACGUAGGGGGCAAGCGUUGUCCGGAAUCAUUGGGCGUAAAGAGCGUGUAGGCGGCCAGAUAAGUCCGCUGUGAAAUCUCGAGGCUCAACUUCGAGCUGUCGGUGGAAACUGUCUGGCUAGAGUCCGGAAGAGGAGAAUGGAAUUCCUGGUGUAGCGGUGAAAUUCGUAGAUAUUAGGAAGAACACCGGUGGCGAAGGCGGCCCACUGGAUCGGUACUGACGCUGAGGUGCGAAAGCGUGGGGAGCAAACAGG
rnacentral:rRNA from 1 species